UACGUAGGCAGCAAGCGUUGUUCGGAAUUACUGGGCGUAAAGAGUGUGUAGGCGGUGCUCUAAGUUUGUCGUGAAAUCUCCCGGCUUAACUGGGAGGGUGCGGCGAAAACUGGAGUGCUAGAGGGUGGGAGAGGAAAGCGGAAUUCCUGGUGUAGCGGUGAAAUGCGUAGAUAUCAGGAGGAACACCUGCGGUGUAGACAGCUUUCUGGACCACUUCUGACGCUGAGGAGCGAAAGCGUGGGGAGCGAACAGG
rnacentral:rRNA from 1 species